UGAAUUUUCUUUGAACCAUUUUCUUUGAACCACUAAAAAAAAAAAGGAGAAU
rnacentral:tRNA from 1 species